rnacentral:rRNA from 1 species
CCUACGGGAGGCUGCAGUGAGGAAUAUUGGUCAAUGGGCGGGAGCCUGAACCAGCCAAGUCGCGUGAGGGAAGACGGUCCUAUGGAUUGUAAACCUCUUUAGUCGGGGAGCAAUGCCGGGCACGUGUGCCCGGAGGGAGAGUACCCGCAGAAUAAGCACCGGCUAACUCCGUGCCAGCAGCCGCGGUAAUACGGGGGGUGCAAGCGGUACUCGGAAUCACUGGGCGUAAAGAGUGCGUAGGCGGGUUAAUAAAUCAGAUGUGAAAUCCUGUAGCUUAACUACAGAACUGCAUUUGAAACUGGUACUCUGGAGUGUGGGAGAGGUAGGUGGAAUUCGUGGUGUAGGGGUAAAAUGCGUAGAGAUCAAGAAGAAUACUCAUUGCGAAGGCGACCUGCUGGAACAUUACUGACGCUGAUGCACGAAAGCGUGGGUAGCGAACAGGAUUAGAUACCCGAGUAGUC